rnacentral:rRNA from 1 species
UACGGGGGGAGCAAGCGUUGUUCGGAUUUACUGGGCGUAAAGGGCGCGUAGGCGGCCACCGCAAGUCGACUGUGAAAUCUCCGGGCUUAACUCGGAAAGGUCAGCCGAUACUGCGGGGCUAGAGUGCAGAAGGGGCAGCUGGAAUUCUCGGUGUAGCGGUGAAAUGCGUAGAUAUCGAGAGGAACACCUGCGGCGAAGGCGGGUUGCUGGGCUGACACUGACGCUGAUUGUGCGAAAGCUAGGGGAGCGAACGGG